UCUUUGGUUAUCUAGCUGUAUGAAUCAAAUGGCUGUCAUAAAGCUAGAUAACCGAAAGUA
rnacentral:pre_miRNA from 1 species